AUACGGAGGGGGCUAGCGUUGUUCGGAAUUACUGGGCGUAAAGCGUACGUAGGCGGACUGAUCAGUUGGGGGUGAAAUCCCAGGGCUUAACCCUGGAACCGCCUUCAAUACUGUCAGUCUUGAGAUUGGAAGAGGUGAGUGGAAUUCCUAGUGUAGAGGUGAAAUUCAUAGAUAUUAGGAGGAACACCAGUGGCGAAGGCGGCUCACUGGUCCAAUACUGACGCUGAGGUACGAAAGCGUGGGGAGCAAACAGGAUUAGAAACCCUAGUAGUCC
rnacentral:rRNA from 1 species